GAUAAACGCUGGCGGCGUGCCUAAUACAUGCAAGUCGAGCGAACGGACGAGAAGCUUGCUUCUCUGAUGUUAGCGGCGGACGGGUGAGUAACACGUGGAUAACCUACCUAUAAGACUGGGAUAACUUCGGGAAACCGGAGCUAAUACCGGAUAAUAUUUUGAACCGCAUGGUUCAAAAGUGAAAGACGGUCUUGCUGUCACUUAUAGAUGGAUCCGCGCUGCAUUAGCUAGUUGGUAAGGUAACGGCUUACCAAGGCAACGAUGCAUAGCCGACCUGAGAGGGUGAUCGGCCACACUGGAACUGAGACACGGUCCAGACUCCUACGGGAGGCAGCAGUAGGGAAUCUUCCGCAAUGGGCGAAAGCCUGACGGAGCAACGCCGCGUGAGUGAUGAAGGUCUUCGGAUCGUAAAACUCUGUUAUUAGGGAAGAACAUAUGUGUAAGUAACUGUGCACAUCUUGACGGUACCUAAUCAGAAAGCCACGGCUAACUACGUGCCAGCAGCCGCGGUAAUACGUAGGUGGCAAGCGUUAUCCGGAAUUAUUGGGCGUAAAGCGCGCGUAGGCGGUUUUUUAAGUCUGAUGUGAAAGCCCACGGCUCAACCGUGGAGGGUCAUUGGAAACUGGAAAACUUGAGUGCAGAAGAGGAAAGUGGAAUUCCAUGUGUAGCGGUGAAAUGCGCAGAGAUAUGGAGGAACACCAGUGGCGAAGGCGACUUUCUGGUCUGUAACUGACGCUGAUGUGCGAAAGCGUGGGGAUCAAACAGGAUUAGAUACCCUGGUAGUCCACGCCGUAAACGAUGAGUGCUAAGUGUUAGGGGGUUUCCGCCCCUUAGUGCUGCAGCUAACGCAUUAAGCACUCCGCCUGGGGAGUACGACCGCAAGGUUGAAACUCAAAGGAAUUGACGGGGACCCGCACAAGCGGUGGAGCAUGUGGUUUAAUUCGAAGCAACGCGAAGAACCUUACCAAAUCUUGACAUCCUUUGACAACUCUAGAGAUAGAGCCUCCCCCUUCGGGGGACAAAGUGACAGGUGGUGCAUGGUUGUCGUCAGCUCGUGUCGUGAGAUGUUGGGUUAAGUCCCGCAACGAGCGCAACCCUUAAGCUUAGUUGCCAUCAUUAAGUUGGGCACUCUAAGUUGACUGCCGGUGACAAACCGGAGGAAGGUGGGGAUGACGUCAAAUCAUCAUGCCCCUUAUGAUUUGGGCUACACACGUGCUACAAUGGACAAUACAAAGGGCAGCGAAACCGCGAGGUCAAGCAAAUCCCAUAAAGUUGUUCUCAGUUCGGAUUGUAGUCUGCAACUCGACUACAUGAAGCUGGAAUCGCUAGUAAUCGUAGAUCAGCAUGCUACGGUGAAUACGUUCCCGGGUCU
rnacentral:rRNA from 1 species